UUGUGAAUAACUCAUGAAUAAUUUUCGUAUGGUAAGCACCAAAACAAAUAAUAUUAUAUCACUACCUCUCUCUGUAGCUUAAGACAUAUACUUGAUACUUAACAAUGGACAAAGAAGAAUACAAAUUAUAUAACCGAAGGUUUAAAUAUUUAUAUAUGUUUCUGAACCAAGUCAGAUACAUUUAAAAUUUAAAAAUAAAUAAAAUAUAUCCUAUGAACUAGUUAGUAGUUAACUACAGUAUUUGGCUAGUAAUAAUAUACAUAAAUAAUGAUUAUGAGAGGCUUUUCUCAUGCUCCAAACGUGUGAAAGCUGAACCUUCCACUAGUUGAAUAUGACGAAACAAUGAAGAACAUGAGCAAGAAGGGUAAGAAGAAGAUGAAAAACUGAAAGUUGAUAGCUGUGUUAAGGAGCUGGGUUUUGAAGUGAUUGUAGUGUGAAAGAGACAGCAAACUAACCACAAUGCCGAAUAUCAUGAGCAGGUGGAACGGUGGUGUAGAAACAGAAGCCAUGUUUUUUUCUCUCCAACUUUGUUUCCAUUCUUGAUAGCAGCUUUAUACUC
rnacentral:lncRNA from 1 species